UUCUUCAAAAGACACACACUUUUCAUUCAACUGCACAGAAUGAAAAGGAAUUCAGUGAGCCAGAUUCCCUUGGUGAUCAGAUCCACUUUAGCUGCCCAGGGAGGACUCAAGGUGGAAAAGAGAAUAGAGGCUGUAUCUUGCCCCACAAGAAAGUGAUAAGCCAUCCUAAUAGAGCAGCUGUGACUGUCUCCCAUUCCACUAAGCUGCUCCAGUAACUGUGCAGAUUUCCAUCAGCCAAGAACACACUCAGAGUGUGCAGUGCUCAGCAGCAGCAUCCCUGCAGUCUGAGAAUGCACUGUGUUUGUCCAAGUCUUACAACGUUUCCAGAGCUUUUAUGAGAAGGGUACAUGUCAACGCUGUCCCAGGUAGAAGAUUUGCUACUCUUUGGUAUGUUAAUUCAUUAUUUCAGCUCUACUUUUUGACGGAGGCUUUGAUUCAGCCUACUCCUGCAAGAGAAUAACAAACUUCUGAUUUGGAUCUGCAGACUUAAUUAUUAUCCCACCAACAUAAAUAAGAAUUUCAUUUAAGUUCAGUUCCUGAAGAAAAAACUAUUGUGCCUACUUUGAUAAGGUGGUAUGAAAUCUAUCCAAACAUUUAUCAAAUUAUGUGAAAUCUUACUGGAAGAAUAUGUUCUGAGAUUUUGUGAAUAAAAUCCCCCAGGAAGCAGUAACACCAAAAUGUAUGUCAGAGCAGAGACUCACGAAGUUUGGUCCAAGGGGAAUUCAUUGCUCAUCUAGUGUUCACCUUUAUUCUUUUAUCCCAGUACACAACAGUACAAAAAGAGGAUGGCAAAGUAAAGAACCCAAACCAGCAUUUCUUUUCCAGAAAGGCAGAACUCUCUGCCAAACCCAGAUCCAGUUACAGAAACAAUUUCCAUUAUUUUCCUUCCUUUCAGUUACUGUAGUUCUGCAAAGAUGUUACACAGUGAUAAAUGGCAAGAAAGACAAUUCACAAAAAAGAUACUUAUUCCAAAGUUAUUA